AGAUUCACCAUGUACAGAAUGGACGAAGUAUUCUGUUAAAAUCAUGUAUGAAUCAGGUACAGUAUAUAUACAUUUUUUGUUUCACAAAGGUUUUGCUAUAUUUUAUUCAGAGAUUGCUAAGAAUAGGAGUAGUUACAGUAACUGGAAUUACAUAAUUCCAGUUAUGUACUUCAUUUUCUGCUACUCUUACUAGCCAUUUCUGGACUCAUUUAAUAUUAUCAGUCAUACUUCACAGAACACUGCGGCAUCCAGUCCACCCACUGUUGGUUCAUCACCUGGGACCUGUGUGUGUCCUUGUCUGUUGUGUUCGUCAUCUGGGAUGUCUGUGGUUGUUUGUGUCUGUUGUGUCUAAUUGUGCCUUUGUUAUACAUAUGAGAGAGCAAGAGCAAAGUUGUCAACCGCUAUGUAUCAUUCUGACCUACUGACGGAGGAUUCUGAGGAUGAUAUCAUUAGCCGUUGUUCAAAAAGGAAGAGGAGGUGGAUCUCCCAGCAGAUACACUGACCAUGAAAGUUCUGAAGAGGACUGCUUUAGUUCAAGGGCUAAGACAAAAGCUUCCAGCAGUAUCAGGGAUGUGGAGGUAAAAUCCAAAGACCAGAUUGCAAGACCAGUUCCACCUAGGCCAUCUGUACCGAGCUGUAUUGUGUCACAGCCACAGCUACCACCACCUGAGAGUCUGGAUGUAAAUGCCCGAGAUGCAAGAAUCUUUAUGGUGUUGGAAGAACUACGUGCUAUACUGCAUUCCCACUCCACCAAGCUGAAUACUCUCCUCAGACACCACAGUGUGCAAGAACAAGAUCAAGCAGUACCAGAGGGCAUUCACUUCCCUGUGAAGGAUAUGAAUGAAAUGGAAGCCCUAGAAAGCAAACUGAUGGAUCCUGACCUAGAGAAGAAAGUUAUUGCAAGUCUGUAUGUAAUAGGUGGAUCAGGUCUUCCAGACACAGUGAGGCGCAUUCUGCGAUACACUGUGAGCAACUCCUUGGCCAUCCACUUCAAUUGGUGUGGCAAAGGAAUGAAACGGAGCUUUUGCACAAUGAAGCUGAAGGAUACAAUAAUUAAUUUGAGUAUAUUGAAGUUUACUGAGUUAAAGGCAGAUUUCCUAUUGACAGAAAGUGUCCGCAAGAAUGCAGAGCACAAGAGUGCAACAGCUGCCUCAAUUGAAAAAGUAAUGAAGGAGUGGUUUCGAACAGCCAGAGAUCGAGAUGGAGGCCGUCGGAGGAGAGAUGUAAGAACUUGUGAGAGCAGUGAUACUGCCUAGACUUUCUGGCAUUGCAUAUUCAAAGUUCUCUCUCUCUUGCUCUCUCUUUGUGCAUUAAUGCAUCAUAAAAUACUCAGUUUACUGGUACCAUUCCAGGCUUUCAUGCCACAGUGACACCACACAUUCCAGUCUCCCUCCAUGUAUCCUGAAGCUCUCAUCCCACUUCUCCAUUCACCUUAACAUGCACCUGUAUCCCUUUGAUGUGCUUUCACACCUCUUAAUGAUCUACCUGCUCCAUAUGCACACCUCCCGUCACAUUCCACAUAGCCCACAGUCAGUCCUGUUAGAUGCAUUUUCCUCAUUUAUAAAUGCCUGUACCUUAAUUUCAUUCUUUUGGCUGUAAUGUUUCAUCUGUACAUUAGUAGUUAAUUGAAAUGUUGUGGACAGCAUUGCUGUAAUGGAAGCCACUUUUAUUUAUUUAUUUUUUAUUUUAUUUUUUUUAUUUUUUUUCUCUAGGAUGUAGGGAUAGGAUUAUUAUGAUAUUAAUUAUGUAAAUACUCAGUUUAGGAAUAGAGCUCAGGAUAGCUAAUGGUAAUUUUGUACUUAACACUGAUGCAAAGAUUAGGCAUUUGUUAUUGCUUGUUUCAAGGGUGCUCGCAGUGUUUUCAUGUUGCUGACUAAUGAUUAAUACUUGUGGUGCUGAGAAUUAUAUUGGUGAAAGAAUACUAAUUGUUCAGUUCUUAAAGAAAUCUUUUUUUGUAGCUACACACAAUGUAUUACCAAAGUGUGUGUGUGUGUGUGUGUGUGUGUGUUUUAGCUGUUCAGUAUUAAAUUGUUUUAAGUUCUCUGACAGUUGAUUCAUAAACUAUACUUUAAACAGAGUUAAUCAUUGGUAAGAUUUAAAGUAAAGAUGUGAAAGACUAUAUCCUCAGGCUGAAAAUAGUAAAUACAUAAGUAAUAUCAGGUGCUAUCACUAAGGCAUAAAGAGUAAGAAUGUGUACCAUCAUAUUGUUGUAGUUGUAAGGAAUGAUGACAAGGGCCAGGAAUCCCUCCCCUUAUUAUUAUUAUUUUUAUUAUUAUUAUUUUUUUUUUAACAAAAAAUAUUGAUUGAUUUACUUUUUAGGAGAAUUAUCUUAUUUCAUUUUCCACUGUCUUGCUUGGAAAUUACCUUGCUGAACAGGAUAAAUUAAGUUCCUUGAAAAGUCUUAAAUGUUGUGAUUUUAGAUUAUUUUUCUUUAGUUUCUAAGGUAAAAUUACAGCUAUACAACUGUUAAAUCUGGUAAUGAUAAAGUAUAAGUGUCUUCUCUUGCUUACUAAUGGCAUCAACCCAAUUGUAAACCCUAUUGUGAUAGCUGAAGAUCUUGUCAAAAUAAACUUAAGUCCACUGAA